UGCAAACUGCGAAUACCGGAGAAUGUUAUCACGGGAGACACACGGCGGGUGCUAACGUCCGUCGUGAAGAGGGAAACAACCCAGACCGCCAGCUAAGGUCCCAAAGUCAUGGUUAAGUGGGAAACGAUGUGGGAAGGCCCAGACAGCCAGGAUGUUGGCUUAGAAGCAGCCAUCAUUUAAAGAAAGCGUAAUAGCUCACUGGUCGAGUCGGCCUGCGCGGAAGAUGUAACGGGGCUAAACCAUGCACCGAAGCUGCGGCAGCGACACUAUGUGUUGUUGGGUAGGGGAGCGUUCUGUAAGCCUGUGAAGGUGGCCUGUGAGGGUUGCUGGAGGUAUCAGAAGUGCGAAUGCUGACAUAAGUAACGAUAAAGCGGGUGAAAAGCCCGCUCGCCGGAAGACCAAGGGUUCCUGUCCAACGUUAAUCGGGGCAGGGUGAGUCGACCCCUAAGGCGAGGCCGAAAGGCGUAGUCGAUGGGAAACAGGUUAAUAUUCCUGUACUUGGUGUUACUGCGAAGGGGGGACGGAGAAGGCUAUGUUGGCCGGGCGACGGUUGUCCCGGUUUAAGCGUGUAGGCUGGUUUUCCAGGCAAAUCCGGAAAACCAAGGCUGAGGCGUGAUGACGAGGCACUACGGUGCUGAAGCGACAAAUGCCCUGCUUCCAGGAAAAGCCUCUAAGCAUCAGGUAACAUCAAAUCGUACCCCAAACCGACACAGGUGGUCAGGUAGAGAAUACCAAGGCGCUUGAGAGAACUCGGGUGAAGGAACUAGGCAAAAUGGUGCCGUAACUUCGGGAGAAGGCACGCUGAUAUGUAGGUGAAGCGACUUGCUCGUGGAGCUGAAAUCAGUCGAAGAUACCAGCUGGCUGCAACUGUUUAUUAAAAACACAGCACUGUGCAAACACGAAAGUGGACGUAUACGGUGUGACGCCUGCCCGGUGCCGGAAGGUUAAUUGAUGGGGUUAGCGGUAACGCGAAGCUCUUGAUCGAAGCCCCGGUAAACGGCGGCCGUAACUAUAACGGUCCUAAGGUAGCGAAAUUCCUUGUCGGGUAAGUUCCGACCUGCACGAAUGGCGUAAUGAUGGCCAGGCUGUCUCCACCCGAGACUCAGUGAAAUUGAACUCGCUGUGAAGAUGCAGUGUACCCGCGGCAAGACGGAAAGACCCCGUGAACCUUUACUAUAGCUUGACACUGAACAUUGAGCCUUGAUGUGUAGGAUAGGUGGGAGGCUUUGAAGUGUGGACGCCAGUCUGCAUGGAGCCGACCUUGAAAUACCACCCUUUAAUGUUUGAUGUUCUAACGUUGGCCCGUAAUCCGGGUUGCGGACAGUGUCUGGUGGGUAGUUUGACUGGGGCGGUCUCCUCCUAAAGAGUAACGGAGGAGCACGAAGGUUGGCUAAUCCUGGUCGGACAUCAGGAGGUUAGUGCAAUGGCAUAAGCCAGCUUGACUGCGAGCGUGACGGCGCGAGCAGGUGCGAAAGCAGGUCAUAGUGAUCCGGUGGUUCUGAAUGGAAGGGCCAUCGCUCAACGGAUAAAAGGUACUCCGGGGAUAACAGGCUGAUACCGCCCAAGAGUUCAUAUCGACGGCGGUGUUUGGCACCUCGAUGUCGGCUCAUCACAUCCUGGGGCUGAAGUAGGUCCCAAGGGUAUGGCUGUUCGCCAUUUAAAGUGGUACGCGAGCUGGGUUUAGAACGUCGUGAGACAGUUCGGUCCCUAUCUGCCGUGGGCGCUGGAGAACUGAGGGGGGCUGCUCCUAGUACGAGAGGACCGGAGUGGACGCAUCACUGGUGUUCGGGUUGUCAUGCCAAUGGCACUGCCCGGUAGCUAAAUGCGGAAGAGAUAAGUGCUGAAAGCAUCUAAGCACGAAACUUGC
rnacentral:rRNA from 1 species